GCAGUCGAACGAUGAAGCCUGGUGCUUGCACCGGGUGGAUUAGUGGCGAACGGGUGAGUAUCACGUGAGUAACCUACCCUUGACUCUGGGAUAAGCCCGGGAAACUGGGUCUAAUACCGGAUAUGACCAGUCACCGCAUGGUGUGCUGGUGGAAAGCUUUAGCGGUUUUGGAUGGACUCGCGGCCUAUCAGCUAGACGGUGAGGUAAUGGCUCACCGUGGCGAUGACGGGUAGCCGGCCUGAGAGGGUGACCGGCCACACUGGGACUGAGACACGGCCCAGACUCCUACGGGAGGCAGCAGUGGGGAAUAUUGCACAAUGGGCGCAAGCCUGAUGCAGCGACGCCGCGUGUGGGAUGACGGCCUUCGGGUUGUAAACCACUUUCAGCAGGGAAGAAGCUUUUUGUGACGGUACCUGCAGAAGAAGCGCCGGCUAACUACGUGCCAGCAGCCGCGGUAAUACGUAGGGCGCGAGCGUUAUCCGGAAUUAUUGGGCGUAAAGAGCUCGUAGGCGGUUUGUCACGUCUGCUGUGAAAGCCCGGGGCUUAACCCCGGGUGUGCAGUGGGUACGGGCAGACUGGAGUGCAGUAGGGGAGACUGGAAUUCCUGGUGUAGCGGUGAAAUGCGCAGAUAUCAGGAGGAACACCGAUGGCGAAGGCAGGUCUCUGGGCUGUUACUGACGCUGAGGAGCGAAAGCAUGGGGAGCGAACAGGAUUAGAUACCCUGGUAGUCCAUGCCGUAAACGUUGGGCACUAGGUGUGGGGAACAUUCCACGUUUUCCGCGCCGUAGCUAACGCAUUAAGUGCCCCGCCUGGGG
rnacentral:rRNA from 1 species